CCUACGGGUGGCAGCAGUGAGGAAUAUUGGUCAAUGGGCGCGAGCCUGACGCAGCGACGCCGCGUGAGGGAUGAAGGUCUUCGGAUCGUAAACCUCUGUCAGCAGGGAAGUACGGUCACUGUGCUAAUCAGCAGUGAAUUGACGGUACCUGCAAAGGAAGCACCGGCUAACUCCGUGCCAGCAGCCGCGGUAAUACGGAGGGUGCGAGCGUUAAUCGGAAUUACUGGGCGUAAAGCGCUCGUAGGCGGUAUGUCAAGUCAAGGGUGAAAGCCCCGGGCUCAACGUGGGAACUGCCUUUGAAACUGGCAAACUGGAGUGUGUGAGAGGAUAGUGGAAUUCCAGGUGUAGGAGUGAAAUCCGUAGAUAUCUGGAGGAACAUCAGUGGCGAAGGCGACUAUCUGGCACAUAACUGACGCUGAGGAGCGAAAGCGUGGGUAGCAAACAGGAUUAGAUACCCUAGUAGUC
rnacentral:rRNA from 1 species